rnacentral:rRNA from 1 species
CUGGGCGGAUUAGUGGCGAACGGGUGAGUAACACGUGGGUGAUCUGCCCUGCACUUCGGGAUAAGCCUGGGAAACUGGGUCUAAUACCGGAUAUGACCAUGGGAUGCAUGUCCUGUGGUGGAAAGGUUUACUGGUGCAGGAUGAGCCCGCGGCCUAUCAGCUUGUUGGUGGGGUAAUGGCCUACCAAGGCGACGACGGGUAGCCGGCCUGAGAGGGCGACCGGCCACACUGGGACUGAGACACGGCCCAGACUCCUACGGGAGGCAGCAGUGGGGAAUAUUGCACAAUGGGCGAAAGCCUGAUGCAGCGACGCCGCGUGAGGGAUGACGGCCUUCGGGUUGUAAACCUCUUUCAGCAGGGACGAAGCGCAAGUGACUGUACCUGCAGAAGAAGCACCGGCUAACUACGUGCCAGCAGCCGCGGUAAUACGUAGGGUGCGAGCGUUGUCCGGAAUUACUGGGCGUAAAGAGUUCGUAGGCGGUUUGUCGCGUCGUGUGUGAAAUCCCGCAGCUCAACUGCGGGCUUGCAGGCGAUACGGGCAGACUUGAGUACUGCA